rnacentral:lncRNA from 1 species
GGCAAUUAACUUUAAGAUAAUUUCUUAACCCUCUUAUACCUGACUUUGCCUUUGCCUAUGGAAACAGGAUCUGAAAUUUCUCCUGGUUUACAUUGCCCACCAAUAGCCUAAAAAGGUCAAGUUUUCACUUUGGGAGGCCAAGGUGUGUGGAUCACCUGAGGUCACCAGCCUGGCCAACAUGGUAAAACCCUGUCUCUACUAAAAAUACAAAAAUUAGCUAGGCGUGGUGGUGGGCGCCUGUAAUCCCAGCUACUCAGGAGGCUGAGGCAGGAGAAUCACUUGAACCCAGGAGGUGGAGGCUGCAGUAAGCCAAGAUGGCACCACUGCCCUCUAGCCAGGGCAAAAGAGCCAGACCCUGUCUCAUGAAAAAAAAUAAAGAAAAGAAUUUGGGUGGAUUGUCUGCCUCUCCCUCUACCAGCUUCUGUUUACUUGACUCUUCAUCCACAAAAACAAACCUUUAAAGCCCCAAGAAAUGUUCAUAAGAUCACACAACUGACCCAGAUGGGAAUGGUCCCCAUAUCUCCUGACUUCCUGCUGGUGCUGAUUACACCAUAUUCUGGUGUAUUAGCAGGCGACAGUAGCUCUAAAAAUAGAGCAGAUGCAAUUAAUAGUGGAGGCAAAUUAACUUGGCGCAUUCAUUAUCUUAGUAGUUGCUCCCUUUGUAAUUGAGUACGGCAUUGCCAAGCCAGGAGCAUACCCUAAUUAGUAUGUGCUCUAAUAUGGAGCGUGAAAUUCCACUCAAUUUUGUAUUCAGCUCACUUCUUGAAGGGGGAGAAAAAUCUAGCUUAAUUGGAGCCGUUAGUGGGGCAGAGCUCAUCCUAUUCAGGUCACCACCCUCUGUGAUCCCUCUGCUCAGAAGAUAACCAAAGGGUACAAAAAAGAAAACAUGCCAGUCCUACAUACAUGGGUAGGGCAAAAGGGGACAUGAAGGGGUGUGUGUGUGUGUGUGUGUGUGUGUGUGUGUGUGUGUGUGUUAUGCAUAAGGAGGCAAGCAUGUUGAAGGUAAGAUUUGGGAGGCAGAGAGUAUCUUUAAAUAUUUGGCCUCCAGAAGGAAAAAUUAAUGUGGAUUGAAAUCAGAGACUGCAAUGCUAUGAUUCCAAAUGCAAUUUGGUAAACAUUUACUGGAUGCCACCAAUGCAUAAGUGAAGACAAAUAAGAUAUGAUCCCUGCCCUCAAAGAGCUUACUAUCUAGUGGGAACAUGUUCACAAAUAACAAAUACAAGGCAGAAAGCCAGGAUAUUUUAAGAGAUGCAUUCAGUGACCACUGAAUGGGUGCUCUACCUUAUAAAUUGCGUAUACACAGGUGAUGGUAUGUAAACAUUAGUAUUAGAUUCUAGAAAGCAAAAGGCCCCUAUCAGAUCAGGCAUCUCCGUUCUAAAUAUUAACAUAAAUUAAUAAAAAAGUAAGCUGAAAUAGGUGCCUCAAGAACUGUGAAAUCUUGAGCUCUCUUUUUCUCUUACCUUAUUUUUCACAGAGGACCAGCUAGGUUGGCAGGUUGUAUAAAUUCUCAUGCAGUUAUUUUCCAGGCAAGACCUGCAUUCACCCCAGGAAUCUGCCAAAGACUCCCGGCAUAGCCUUUCUUCUUCCUCCAGAUGUUCUUGAACUUCAUUCAGAAGUUUCAGGGCCUCCUAGUUAAAAGUAGAAACAAAAGUCCAAUUUCCAUUUCAUAAUCUAUGUGCACCUUAGUUGAUUUCACCCUUUGAAAUGUAUACAUUCUAAACUGCUUUUUCAUUCUUUCUCCUUCAGGUGCCUCGCAGCUGUCAGAUCUCCCCCAAAGCUUUCUGUUUAGUUUAAGAAAAGAGCACUGAUUGAUUCCUAUUGAAGACUGUAAAUCUUAUUCAUCUGUUCAUUCAUUUGUUCAAUAAGUAUUUACUGAGUGUUUGCUAUGUGACAGACAUUACUCUAGGUGUGGGUGACCUGACAAUGAAGAUGCCAUCCCGAUCUGGGAACAACUGUGAUUUACCUAUUUACCGUGCUCCCCCUUGUGGUGCUUGCUGUACUUGGCCAAGUCCUGCUCUGGGUGGUGAGGAGCCCAGCAGCAGUGGCACCUGUCCCUGCGAGCCUCAGCCCUGCCCCUGGAGUGCCUCACGGGUCAGCACCAUGGUGCAACAGACCUUUCUUCCUGUGCCCCUGCCCAAACCUCUGGCUUCCCUGCAAGUGUGGACUUCUGAACCCCAGCCCCCUCCAUGCCGAGAUAUCGUGCAGGGGAAUGAAGUGAGUAUAGUGGAUCUGGCCAUAAGAAGACAGCCUCAGAGCUAAUGGAAAUGACCCUUUCCUGGAGUAUUAAGCCCAAAGAAUCACCUGGGCACUGACAAUCUUCCACAUCUUCUCUGCCUGGCUAGGAUUUGUCAGUUGUCCUCAUUGUAAAGUUUGGCUGCUAAGCCACGUAGCAUUUGGUAUGAUCCACGUAAGAAAACUGCCAGGGCCCCAGCUUGCCA